CUUAAUGAGAGUUUGAUCCUAGCUCAGGGUGAAUGGUGGCGGCGUGGAUGAGUCAUGCAAGUCAAGGGGGCCCGCAAGGGCAACCGGCAAACGAGGUAGUAACACGUAGGUAGAUCCCCCGGAGUCGGGCAUAGCUUGCCGAAAGGCAAGGUAAUUCCCGAUAGUCUCGCAAGAGUAAAGUUUUUCGCUCCGGGAGUCGCCUGCGCAGUAUCAGCUAGUUGGUAGGGUAACGGCCUACCAAGGCUACGACGCUUAGGGGAGCUGAGAGGCUGACCCCCACCGAUGGGACUGAGAUACGGCCCAUACUCCUACGGGAGGCCGCAGUCGAGAAUCUUCCGCAAUGGACGCAAGUCUGACGGAGCGACGCCGCGUGAUGGACGAAGUGGUUCGCCACGUAAACAUCUUUUAUGAGGGACGAAAUUAUUGACGGUACCUCAUGAAUAAGGGGCUCCUAACUCUGUGCCAGCAGGAGCGGUAAUACAGAGGCCCCAAGCAUUAUCCGGAAUCACUGGGCGUAAAGGGUGUCAAGGCGGUCAUGUUAGUCGUUCGUAAAAUCCGUGGGCUCAACCUACGGCGGGCGAGCGAAACGGCAUGACUAGAGGUCGGGAGAGGUGCACGGAACUCACGGUGUAGGGGUGAAAUCCGUUGAUAUCGUGGGGAACACCAAAGGCGAAGGCAGCACACUGGCCCGAAUCUGACGCUCACACACGAAAGCCAGGGUAGCGAAUGGGAUUAGAUACCCCAGUAGUCCUGGCCCUAAACGUUGCUCGCUCGUUCUACGGAGUAUCGACCCUCUGUGGGACUAAGCUAACGCGGUAAGCGAGCCGCCUGGGUAGUACGAUCGCAAGAUUAAAACUCAAAGGAAUAGACGGGGACUCGCACAAGUGGUGGAUCAUGUGGCUUAAUUCGUAGCUAAGCGAAGAACCUUACCAGGGUUAGAAAUCCA
rnacentral:rRNA from 1 species